rnacentral:lncRNA from 1 species
GUGUUUCUGUAGGGCAAUAUGAAUGUGCAAAAACAAAGCUUGUGUCAAUUUCAUGCUUCUUUUAGGGUGAACCAGGAACUGUUGGUCCUCCUGGGCUCCCGGGUGUUCCAGGAUGCAAUGGCACAAAGGGUGACCAAGGAUUUCCAGGUCCUCCAGGUCAAAGAGGUGCUCCAGGCCUUCCAGGUAUUGCUGGUAUCAAAGGAGAGAAGGGGUGCCCUGCAGAAGGAUAUAGCCAAGAGUAUGGUGGAAAAGGUGAUCCUGGAUUACCAGGAAUGCCUGGUCUCCAGGGUGCCCAGGGUGCUCAAGGAUAUCCUGGGGAACUUGGACCACAGGGCCCUCCAGGACCUUUAGUAUGAAUUUAUGUCUCACUUGUUACUUUGACCUUUGAUUUUCCCCGAACCCUAUGGAAUUACACAGAUACAAGUACUUGACUCUCCCAGAUUUAUUUGAGGUCUAGGCACAUGUGUAUGUAAAAACUAUGCUUAUCUGCACACAUCUGAUAUUUUUUCAGUUGCUUUUGAUUAUUUUUAUGCAUGAUAAUUUCUAUAUUUUCAGAAGCAUCCCUUGUCCAUGUAGGCAUAAAUUUCAAUUUUCAAAUGACUACCCAUUAAUUCACUUUAAAUACUAAAAUGUAUAACAUUGAGAGAUGCAUAUGUUUGCAACUAGACUGUGUAAACAGUCUGUCAGCCACUGGUAAUGACUUGUGGCUGUAAAGGUGGAAGAAAAAGUAAAAAUGUGAUACAAGUUCUGUGAAAGUUGGGUGCUUCAAAACACCUAUAUCAGAGCAGAAGAUUGUAAAUUUUUUACCUGAGGAUUUUUUUUUUUUUCCUUUUUUGUAGGGCAUGCCAGGGAAACCAGGACCUCCUGGACCUAAGGUAGUCUCAGAUUGGUAAUAAAAAUGAAAACUUCUGUUACGUGUAACAUAAAUUAACUCAUGUUGUAGGUGUUUGUAAAAUAAAAAAAAUAACAUUUGGGGAUUUUUUUUUCAGGGUCUUAUGGGACUGAAAGUAAUAGGAGCCAAAGGAAGAAAGGUAAUUUCUUAAGAAGCUUUAAACAUUUUAUAAGUUUUGUUUCUGUUUUAUGCAUUUUCUGAUAUGC